rnacentral:rRNA from 1 species
UACGGAGGGGGCUAGCGUUGUUCGGAAUUACUGGGCGUAAAGCGCACGUAGGCGGCUUUGUAAGUUAGAGGUGAAAGCCCGGAGCUUAACUCCGGAACUGCCUUUAAGACUGCAUCGCUAGAAUUGUGGAGAGGUGAGUGGAAUUCCGAGUGUAGAGGUGAAAUUCGUAGAUAUUCGGAAGAACACCAGUGGCGAAGGCGACUCACUGGACACAUAUUGACGCUGAGGUGCGAAAGCGUGGGGAGCAAACAGG